rnacentral:rRNA from 1 species
GACGAACGCUGGCGGCGUGCUUAACACAUGCAAGUCGAACGGAAAGGCCCUGCUUUUGUGGGGUGCUCGAGUGGCGAACGGGUGAGUAACACGUGAGUAACCUGCCCUUGACUUUGGGAUAACUUCAGGAAACUGGGGCUAAUACCGGAUAGGAGCUCCUGCUGCAUGGUGGGGGUUGGAAAGUUUCGGCGGUUGGGGAUGGACUCGCGGCUUAUCAGCUUGUUGGUGGGGUAGUGGCUUACCAAGGCUUUGACGGGUAGCCGGCCUGAGAGGGUGACCGGCCACUUGGGGCAUGAGAUACGGCCCGGCCGCCUGCGGGAGGAGGAGGGGGGAAUUAUUGCACAGGGGGCGGAGGCUGGAGGCAGCAACCCGGCGGGCGGGAUGAGGCCUUUCGGUUUGAAACCCGCUUCCCCCUGGGAGGAGGGGUGGGUGAGGGAAAGGGGAAAAGAAGCACCGGCUAACUACGU